rnacentral:rRNA from 1 species
GAGUUUGAUCAUGGCUCAGGAUUAACGCUAGCGGCAGGCCUAAUACAUGCAAGUCGAACGGCAGCACGGGUAGCAAUACCUGGUGGCGAGUGGCGCACGGGUGCGUAACGCGUAUGCAAUCUACCUAUAACUGGGGAAUAGCCUUUCCGAAAGGAAGAUUAAUACCGCAUAAUAUCACGAAACGGCAUCGCUUUGUGAUCAAAUCUCCGGAGGUUAUAGAUGAGCAUGCGUGACAUUAGCUAGUUGGUGAGGUAACGGCUCACCAAGGCGACGAUGUCUAGGGGGUCUGAGAGGAU